AUACAGAAUCUUCUUCUGUUUAAAUACCAGCUAGAUGUUUCCCAUUGUCCACUUGGUGUUCUCCUCAUGUAAAUGAAGUGGUGACCCACAAUCAGUCUGAUUGGUUGUGACAACCAAUCAGAGGCUGAAGUUACACCAGUCACAUUCCUAUGCAAACAUCUGAUUGGUUGUGGGGAAACAACCAAUCAGAGGCUAAAGUGAUGUUACUGAGUUGCACUUUUAUGCAAACGAAGAUUUGACCCACAGUCAUUCUGACUGGUUGCAGACAGCAACUAAUCAGAAGCUGAGGCGAAGUUACAAAAUUACACUCCUAUGCAAAAUCUGACUGGUUGCAGAAAACAACCAAUUAGAGGUACUUUCCAUUUUCACCUGCCCAUCAAAACAGCAACUCCACAAAACAAUGAUUUCUAUCUGCAUUUUACAAGAGGAAAUGAAGCUACAGAGAGGACAUUAACUUACAGGAAUUGACAGUUUGUCAAAAUGUAUUGAAUUCUAUACAGGACUGGUGAAAUACACAUUAUUGAUAUGCAGCUGGAAUAUGGGAUACAAUCUAUCUAUGAAUAACUGGUACAUUCCAGUCUCCAUUUUUGCUGCCUACACCAACCAAACAAGCAAAAUUAAUGUAUUUAAAUAAAGAAGAAAAUAUAAAAGUGACAGAAAAAAUAAAAAGCUUCUUACAUGAAUAU